rnacentral:rRNA from 1 species
GACGAACGCUGGCGGCGUGCUUAACACAUGCAAGUCGAACGAUGAAGCCGGAGCUUGCUCUGGUGAAUUAGUGGCGAACGGGUGAGUAACACGUGAGUAACCUGCCCUUGACUCUGGGAUAACUGCUAGAAAUGGUAGCUAAUACCGGAUACGACCCUCGGAGGCAUCUCCAGGGGGUGGAAAGAAUUUCGGUCAAGGAUGGACUCGCGGCCUAUCAGCUUGUUGGUGAGGUAACGGCUCACCAAGGCGACGACGGGUAGCCGGCCUGAGAGGGUGACCGGCCACACUGGGACUGAGACACGGCCCAGACUCCUACGGGAGGCAGCAGUGGGGAAUAUUGCACAAUGGGCGCAAGCCUGAUGCAGCAACGCCGCGUGAGGGAUGAAGGCCUUCGGGUUGUAAACCUCUUUUAGCAGGGAAGAAGCGAAAGUGACGGUACCUGCAGAAAAAGCACCGGCUAACUACGUGCCAGCAGCCGCCGUAA